UAGAAAAAAUCAGUUAUAGGGAAAGCUAAUCGGAUGAAACUGUCAUAUGUUCAUAAAAAGGGAACCAAACCAUUUGUGGCACUUCAGCAUGAAUUAAGUUGUGAUCAAAUCUCAUUGUACAAGGAAUGCUAUUGUAGUGACAAAGGAUGGGCGUCAAGAGAUGCUAGACAGAACUAUGAAACAAUGUUACAGAUGCAGCAUGAAAAUGAGCAAGAAGGUGCAAUCCAGCUGACAGAGCAACAAAUUUGUGAGAAGGUGCUUGGGAAGGCAUAUGGAUAUAUUAGAGGGAGAGGUCAUGGUCCGAAACCUAAUAGAAGAGCUUCAUCAACUUCAGCAAACACCUAUCAACAAAUGGAAGAAGAAUUGGCUUCUACAAAACAAACUGCGGCAGUUCAACAAAACCAGCUUGCAGUACAACAAAAUCAGCUUGAAUCUCAACAAAAGCAACUUGAUUGGUUGCGCAGUGUCGUGUCCAAACUUGCUGGUAUUCCACCUCCUGCUAUGGAUGAUAAUGAUGCCUCAGGACCAUCCCACACAACCACAACUUCAAUUGAUGGAUCCGCUAUGCAACAUUUUUUUCUUCUAAAAGAAAAACAGAAUAUAGUGUUAUAAUACAUAGAAAUGCCAAUUAACUUUUGUUAAAUUUAUUUGAUAGGUUCACUGGUUUUGGAUGGAAUGUCAAGGAGAUCAUGAUUUUGAAGAUCUUUGAUUAGGAGGAACACCGCAACGUAAUCUCCCAGGCUACUACAUCAUCUUGACAAUACUCAUCAUGGUGUUUCAAAACAAGCAUCAGGUUGCGAUACUCCAAGAGACUUGUAUAAACUCAACCAUAGUACUACAGAAAUUUUGUUUACUUGGUGGUACAGUGAUUCGUAGUUCUAUUCAGAUAGAAGUGAUUCAUAUUUUUCUUCAAAUAGAUUACUCCUUUAGAAGUUGACUUUUGGGUAUAAUGAUUUCCUUGUAAGACUGCACAUCAGUUUUAAUGUGUUACCGUGUCAAGCAUGUACUCAAAGGUGAAGCUUGAGAUGAGUUUAUUGUAGCACUAUUCUGCAGUUGAUGCUAUGGUAACCUAGUUGAUUCA